rnacentral:rRNA from 1 species
UGCAAGUCGAGCGGACAGAUGGGAGCUUGCUCCCUGAUGUUAGCGGCGGACGGGUGAGUAACACGUGGGUAACCUGCCUGUAAGACUGGGAUAACUCCGGGAAACCGGGGCUAAUACCGGAUGGUUGUUUGAACCGCAUGGUUCAAACAUAAAAGGUGGCUUCGGCUACCACUUACAGAUGGACCCGCGGCGCAUUAGCUAGUUGGUGAGGUAACGGCUCACCAAGGCAACGAUGCGUAGCCGACCUGAGAGGGUGAUCGGCCACACUGGGACUGAGACACGGCCCAGACUCCUACGGGAGGCAGCAGUAGGGAAUCUUCCGCAAUGGACGAAAGUCUGACGGAGCAACGCCGCGUGAGUGAUGAAGGUUUUCGGAUCGUAAAGCUCUGUUGUUAGGGAAGAACAAGUACCGUUCGAAUAGGGCGGUACCUUGACGGUACCUAACCAGAAAGCCACGGCUAACUACGUGCCAGCAGCCGCGGUAAUACGUAGGUGGCAAGCGUUGUCCGGAAUUAUUGGGCGUAAAGGGCUCGCAGGCGGUUUCUUAAGUCUGAUGUGAAAGCCCCCGGCUCAACCGGGGAGGGUCAUUGGAAACUGGGGAACUUGAGUGCAGAAGAGGAGAGUGGAAUUCCACGUGUAGCGGUGAAAUGCGUAGAGAUGUGGAGGAACACCAGUGGCGAAGGCGACUCUCUGGUCUGUAACUGACGCUGAGGAGCGAAAGCGUGGGGAGCGAACAGGAUUAGAUACCCUGGUAGUCCACGCCGUAGACGAUGAGUGCUAAGUGUUAGGGGGUUUCCGCCCCUUAGUG